rfam:Aedes albopictus isolate Foshan contig86935, whole genome shotgun sequence.
UAGCCUAGUGGUUAAGGUUAUGGAUCGCCAAUCCGGAGACGACGGGUUCGAUUCCCGU